rnacentral:rRNA from 1 species
UACGAAGGGUGCAAGCGUUACUCGGAAUUACUGGGCGUAAAGCGUGCGUAGGUGGUUUGUUAAGUCUGUUGUGAAAGCCCCGGGCUCAACCUGGGAAUGGCAAUGGAUACUGGCAAGCUAGAGUGCGGUAGAGGGUAGUGGAAUUCCCGGUGUAGCGGUGAAAUGCGUAGAUAUCAGGAAGAACACCAACGGCGAAGGCAGCUCGCUGGGACGGAACUGACGCUAAGGCGCGAAAGCGUGGGGAGCGAACAGG